AGGACCUCAACCAGAGCGUUUCAGACAGAGGGUGAAAACAGGUGCUGCAUCACAGCCGGUUUGAGAAAAACAAACUGCGUUUUUUGAAGAUGAAAGCCUGUA